AUCAGUAAACCAUGGCUGUUUUAAUAAAAGCCAUAUACAUAAAAUACUUCCUUGUCAAGAACAUUUACAUCUGCGAUCUUAUUUUAUUUGUAACACCCUGUAAGACAGGCUGUUUUUAGCCCAUAAGCAAAGCACCAGGUUUAUACUGUUCUGUAACCUAAACCGGGUAUUCUUCUUGCCAACCUGGCCCAGAGAUAGAGAGAUUUGCUUCAGGAAAAGGAAACAAACAGCAACUAACAUUCAUGUGAUUACUAACAAAACUGAAAGGUCUCUUCACAAUGAUGCGCACAAGAUAUGCACAAGGAAAAGUGAAGUUCAGUGUCAUUUAAGCUAAUCUCUAUUCAAACCUCAGAGAUAAAACCAUUUGAGCAGUAAUUUAGGACUGAAUUAACUUGUUUUUUCCCUCCCUAUCUUUGAAGCUUUCGUUAUUUAAGUGUUUCUGCAAGAAGCAAGGUUCCCUUCUAUUCAGAAGCUGAUGGUGUGUAGUAACCUCUGCAUGGCUCGGCUUAUCCCAGGCUGAUAAUCAACAAACAGCCAAAUACAUACCACAUCUGACAUACAACCUUUUCCCCCAAGACUGUCCCCAAAUACUCCAUGAUAAUCAAGUGUUCGUAUCACUGAAUUCUCGUGCUACAAAGCCUUCCAGUAGCAAAAACUGAACUCUG
rnacentral:lncRNA from 1 species